GCAACAUCUCUCUUCUUUUUGUCUAUAUUUUUAGAAUGCAACUUAUAUCAGUUCCAUGCUAUGCCUUUAAACUAUUUUCAUCUUUUCUGUAAACUUCAUAGUUUAUAAAAUUUUAUGAAUUUAUUUCACCUACUUUGUAUAUGUCUUGGUGCAUAUGUUUGUUACAUAACCUGUACCUCACCAACCAUCUGCUUUAAUUGAUACAAAGCCCUCUCCCCCUUCUGCCUCCAAUAUAUCUAAAAAAAAAAAAAUAAAUAAAUAAAUAAACAUUUCUUAUAUCCAAUGCCAUCCUGCUUCACUUCUUGUUUUAGUUUAUGGAUAUGAGCUCCUAGCAAGCUGCUCUCCCAAAUGCGUAGUUGUCUUCAAGCCUCCUUGGUGAUGUAUCUGAACUGUGGUUUCCCCAAAGUGCGGUGGCACCUAAUAUUCCAGCUGCAGGACAAGGUGGCUUAACAUACAUGGCAGUGCGAGUACUGAGCUCCCAAAUAUCGAAUGUAUCAACACAGGGUUCUGUUGCAUCUGUUGGAGGAAAUCCUUUUGCAUGGGUUGGUGGCAAUUAUCAUUGAUAAGUUGAUUGUACAAUAUUUCUAAGUUUUUGCUAUUAGUUGGUCUCAAUCCUAUAGGCUACAGAAUCAAAAUUAUUAUGGUGCCUUUUUUUUUUUUUUCUUUUUUCUUUUUUGGUCUCAAUCAGGA